rnacentral:rRNA from 1 species
UACGGAGGGUGCAAGCGUUAUCUGGGAUCACUGGGUUUAAAGGGUGCCUAGGCGGCUAAAUAAGUCAGAGGUGAAAGUUUGUCGCUUAACGAUAGAACUGCCUUUGAUACUGUUAAGCUUGAAAGUAGGUGAGGUUGGCGGAAUGUGACAUGUAGCGGUGAAAUGCAUAGAUAUGUCAUAGAACACCGAUUGCGAAGGCAGGCGGCCAACCUGACUUUGACGCUGAGGCACGAAAGCGUGGGUAGCGAACAGG